rnacentral:misc_RNA from 1 species
UGAAAACUUAAAGUUAAAACUAAGUUCUCCUCUAAUUCUGGAGUUACUAUCCAAGAGCUGCCGCUUAAUCAACCCAGAAUUGAUGAUGAUAAAGAGGUGGAGACACUCACCUCAGGCAAAAAGAGAGUAAGAACUCAAGUUUGGCAUGAACCUAGCAACAAGAAAGUGUGUGUUGAUGAAGAUUGCUGUGAUAAGGUGGAGGAAGCCAGUCUUAAAUGGCCCCAUCUCCUUAAAUGAGACUAUUGAGUUGGAAUUGUCAAGGUGUGGGGAACCCCCUUGACAUUCCACAAUUUCAAAGGGAUUAGCUAAUCCCAUUCCCCAGAUAACAUUUUUCUCAUGGAAACGAUGAAUAAACAAAGGAUAGUUUGGAA